rnacentral:rRNA from 1 species
ACAUGCAAGUCGAACGAGGUGGCCCACUGAUUUUAUGGAAGUUGGAGUGCUUGCACAAAGACGGAAAUAAUUGACGUGGAAUUUCCACCUAGUGGCGCAAGGGUGAGUAACACGUAGGUAAUCUGCCUUCGAGUCUGGAAUAACAGUUAGAAAUGAUUGCUAAUGCCGGAUGAUAUCGGGAAUGAUACGUCUUUCCUUAUUAAAAGGGGCCUUUAAAGCCUCGCUUGAAGAUGAGCCUGCGCUGUAUUAGCUAGUUGGUGAGGUAAUGGCUCACCAAGGCGACGAUGCAUAGCCGACCUGAGAGGGUGAUCGGCCACACUGGGACUGAGACACGGCCCAGACUCCUACGGGAGACAGCAGUUAGGAAUAUUCGUCAAUGGGGGAAACCCUGAACGAGCAAUGCCGCGUGAAGGAUGACGGUCCUAUGGAUUGUAAACUUCUGUUGUUAGGGAAGAACGACACAAGUAGGAAAUGACUUGUGAGUGACGGUACCUUUCAAGAAAGCUCCGGCUAACUACGUGCCAGCAGCCGCGGUAAUACGUAGGGAGCGAGCGUUAUCCGGAUUUAUUGGGUGUAAAGGGUACGUAGGCGGUUUGAUAAGUCUGUGGUUUAAUCCCGAAGCUUAACUUCGGCGCGCCACAGAAACUGUCAAACUUGAGUAUGGUAGAGGCAAGUGGAAUUCUAGUGUAGCGGUUAAUGCGUAGAUAUAGAGACACCAGUGGGAAGCGACUUGCUGGCCAUUCUGACGCUGAAAUACGAAGCGUGGGAGCAAUAGGAUAGAUCCCUAUAGUCAGCCGUAACAAG